UUAAUAUACAUUGAAUAUAUCUCAAUUCAUUUGUAAGAGUAAAAUAUAAAAACAUAUGGCUAAAAUUCUCAAACUUCUUUAUACUAUAGUUUUGUUUUUGUCCCUACACUUUCUUUUAGCGAUGGCUAUAUUUCCAUGUGAAACUGAUGAAGAUUGUGCAUACGUGUUAGUUAUCGUGAAUAAGAUACAUGGACAAGUCAAGUGCGUUAUAAACGUAUGUUGUUUGGCAUUGCUAAUGUAAGGACGAAAUAUACAAAAAAAAAGAAAUUAUGAAUAAUAAAUAUAUCUUAUAUGGUAGAA